rnacentral:rRNA from 1 species
UACGAAGGGGGCUAGCGUUGCUCGGUAUCACUGGGCUUAAAGGGCGCGUAGGCGGUGCGGUACGGUUUCGGUGAAAUCCCUCGGCCCAACCGAGGAACAGCCGGAGCUACGGCCGGACUAGACGGCAUCAGGGGACAGUGGAACUCCCGGUGGAGCGGUGAAAUGCGUAGAUAUCGGGAGGAACGCCGGUGGCGAAAGCGACUGUCUGGGGUGCCUGUGACGCUGAGGCGCGAAAGCCAGGGGAGCAAACGGG